UACCAACCCAAAACGUCAAGGAAUGGAAGUGAAGGAACCGGCCUCUUUCAGGCUGAAUGGGAGAAAAGGUAGCUGGUUAUUACGCUGAUUCCUCUGUUCGUCUUGAUUGGAAUCGGAGGGACCGGCCUGUGCACCAUGUGCCUUGCUCUUCGCAACCCUGAUGUCAGAUCUACUCCUUGCUGCCUGCCUCUUGUCACGUUUCUCUGCCUGGCUGGGACAAAAAGAGCAACCCAGAGCCUUGGAACAAGCUGUGACCCAACGACCAGUACAAGGGAUGUCCGGAGCCGGUGAGGUUUUCCCCAAGUCCAAAGUCAUGAAGAGAACCGCAGGACGUCCCUAUUUACAUUGGAGAAAUGAACGUGAAAUACUGGCAGCGAACAAUGGACAAGGCAGUGGCCGUACCUGAGAGAAGGAGCUUUGAAGGGAGACUGCAGGCGGACAUCUGCUGCAUUGCAAGU